rnacentral:rRNA from 1 species
GUUAAGCGACUAAGCGUACACGGUGGAUGCCCUGGCAGUCAGAGGCGAUGAAGGACGUGCUAAUCUGCGAUAAGCGUCGGUAAGGUGAUAUGAACCGUUAUAACCGGCGAUUUCCGAAUGGGGAAACCCAGUGUGUUUCGACACACUAUCAUUAACUGAAUCCAUAGGUUAAUGAGGCGAACCGGGGGAACUGAAACAUCUAAGUACCCCGAGGAAAAGAAAUCAACCGAGAUUCCCCCAGUAGCGGCGAGCGAACGGGGAGGAGCCCAGAGCCUGAAUCAGUGUGUGUGUUAGUGGAAGCGUCUGGAAAGGCGCGCGAUACAGGGUGACAGCCCCGUACACAAAAAUGCACAUACUGUGAGCUCGAUGAGUAGGGCGGGACACGUGGUAUCCUGUCUGAAUAUGGGGGGACCAUCCUCCAAGGCUAAAUACUCCUGACUGACCGAUAGUGAACCAGUACCGUGAGGGAAAGGCGAAAAGAACCCCGGCGAGGGGAGUGAAAAAGAACCUGAAACCGUGUACGUACAAGCAGUGGGAGCACGCUUCGGCGUGUGACUGCGUACCUUUUGUAUAAUGGGUCAGCGACUUAUAUUCUGUAGCAAGGUUAACCGAAUAGGGGAGCCGAAGGGAAACCGAGUCUUAACUGGGCGUUAAGUUGCAGGGUAUAGACCCGAAACCCGGUGAUCUAGCCAUGGGCAGGUUGAAGGUUGGGUAACACUAACUGGAGGACCGAACCGACUAAUGUUGAAAAAUUAGCGGAUGACUUGUGGCUGGGGGUGAAAGGCCAAUCAAACCGGGAGAUAGCUGGUUCUCCCCGAAAGCUAUUUAGGUAGCGCCUCGUGAAUUCAUCUCCGGGGGUAGAGCACUGUUUCGGCAAGGGGGUCAUCCCGACUUACCAACCCGAUGCAAACUGCGAAUACCGGAGAAUGUUAUCACGGGAGACACACGGCGGGUGCUAACGUCCGUCGUGAAGAGGGAAACAACCCAGACCGCCAGCUAAGGUCCCAAAGUCAUGGUUAAGUGGGAAACGAUGUGGGAAGGCCCAGACAGCCAGGAUGUUGGCUUAGAAGCAGCCAUCAUUUAAAGAAAGCGUAAUAGCUCACUGGUCGAGUCGGCCUGCGCGGAAGAUGUAACGGGGCUAAACCAUGCACCGAAGCUGCGGCAGCGACACUAUGUGUUGUUGGGUAGGGGAGCGUUCUGUAAGCCUGCGAAGGUGGCCUGUGAGGGUUGCUGGAGGUAUCAGAAGUGCGAAUGCUGACAUAAGUAACGAUAAAGCGGGUGAAAAGCCCGCUCGCCGGAAGACCAAGGGUUCCUGUCCAACGUUAAUCGGGGCAGGGUGAGUCGACCCCUAAGGCGAGGCCGAAAGGCGUAGUCGAUGGGAAACAGGUUAAUAUUCCUGUACUUGGUGUUACUGCGAAGGGGGGACGGAGAAGGCUAUGUUGGCCGGGCGACGGUUGUCCCGGUUUAAGCGUGUAGGCUGGUUUUCCAGGCAAAUCCGGAAAAUCAAGGCUGAGGCGUGAUGACGAGGCACUACGGUGCUGAAGCAACAAAUGCCCUGCUUCCAGGAAAAGCCUCUAAGCAUCAGGUAACAUCAAAUCGUACCCCAAACCGACACAGGUGGUCAGGUAGAGAAUACCAAGGCGCUUGAGAGAACUCGGGUGAAGGAACUAGGCAAAAUGGUGCCGUAACUUCGGGAGAAGGCACGCUGAUAUGUAGGUGAAGUCCCUCGCGGAUGGAGCUGAAAUCAGUCGAAGAUACCAGCUGGCUGCAACUGUUUAUUAAAAACACAGCACUGUGCAAACACGAAAGUGGACGUAUACGGUGUGACGCCUGCCCGGUGCCGGAAGGUUAAUUGAUGGGGUUAGCGGUAACGCGAAGCUCUUGAUCGAAGCCCCGGUAAACGGCGGCCGUAACUAUAACGGUCCUAAGGUAGCGAAAUUCCUUGUCGGGUAAGUUCCGACCUGCACGAAUGGCGUAAUGAUGGCCAGGCUGUCUCCACCCGAGACUCAGUGAAAUUGAACUCGCUGUGAAGAUGCAGUGUACCCGCGGCAAGACGGAAAGACCCCGUGAACCUUUACUAUAGCUUGACACUGAACAUUGAGCCUUGAUGUGUAGGAUAGGUGGGAGGCUUUGAAGUGUGGACGCCAGUCUGCAUGGAGCCGACCUUGAAAUACCACCCUUUAAUGUUUGAUGUUCUAACGUUGGCCCCUAAUCGGGGUUGCGGACAGUGUCUGGUGGGUAGUUUGACUGGGGCGGUCUCCUCCUAAAGAGUAACGGAGGAGCACGAAGGUUGGCUAAUCCUGGUCGGACAUCAGGAGGUUAGUGCAAUGGCAUAAGCCAGCUUGACUGCGAGCGUGACGGCGCGAGCAGGUGCGAAAGCAGGUCAUAGUGAUCCGGUGGUUCUGAAUGGAAGGGCCAUCGCUCAACGGAUAAAAGGUACUCCGGGGAUAACAGGCUGAUACCGCCCAAGAGUUCAUAUCGACGGCGGUGUUUGGCACCUCGAUGUCGGCUCAUCACAUCCUGGGGCUGAAGUAGGUCCCAAGGGUAUGGCUGUUCGCCAUUUAAAGUGGUACGCGAGCUGGGUUUAGAACGUCGUGAGACAGUUCGGUCCCUAUCUGCCGUGGGCGCUGGAGAACUGAGGGGGGCUGCUCCUAGUACGAGAGGACCGGAGUGGACGCAUCACUGGUGUUCGGGUUGUCAUGCCAAUGGCACUGCCCGGUAGCUAAAUGCGGAAGAGAUAAGUGCUGAAAGCAUCUAAGCACGAAACUUGCCCCGAGAUGAGUUCUCCCUGACUCCUUGAGAGUCCUGAAGGAACGUUGAAGACGACGACGUUGAUAGGCCGGGUGUGUAAGCGCAGCGAUGCGUUGAGCUAACCGGUACUAAUGAACCGUGAGGCUUAACCUUACAACGC